ACUCCUACGGGAGGCAGCAGUGGGGAAUAUUGCACGAAUCGGGCGCAAGCCUGAUGCAGCCAUGCCGCGUGUGUGAAGAAGGCCUUCGGGUUGAUAAGCACUUUCAGUCGUGAGGAAGGUAGUGUCAGUUAAUAGCUGCAUUAUUUGACGUUAGCGACAGAAGAAGCACCGGCUAACUCCGUGCCAGCAGCCGCGGUAAUACGGAGGGUGCGAGCGUUAAUCGGAAUUACUGGGCGUAAAGCGCAUGCAGGUGGUUUGUUAAGUCAGAUGUGAAAG
rnacentral:rRNA from 1 species